UGCAGUCGAACGAAGUAGCAAUACUUAGUGGCAGACGGGUGAGUAACAUGUGGGUAUCUUCCCUAUGGCCUGGAAUAACACGAGGAAACUUGUGCUAAUACUGGAUAAGUCUUUACAGAGAAAGCUUUAUGCACCAUUGGAUGAGCCUGCACUUGAUUAGUUUGUUGGUGGGGUAAUGGCCUACCAAGACUUUGAUCAAUAGCUGAUUUGAGAGGAUGAUCAGCCACAUUGGGACUGAGACACGGCCCAAACUCCUACGGGAGGCAGCAGUGGGGAAUCUUGCACAAUGGAGGAAACUCUGAUGCAGCGAUGCCGCGUGAGUGAAGAAGGCCCUUGGGUUGUAAAGCUCUUUCGUCGGGGAAGAAAAUGACUGUACCCGAAUAAGAAGGUCCGGCUAACUUCGUGCCAGCAGCCGCGGUAAUACGAAGGGACCUAGCGUAGUUCGGAAUUACUGGGCUUAAAGAGUUCGUAGGUGGUUGAAAAAGUUGGUGGUGAAAUCCCAGAGCUUAACUCUGGAACUGCCAUCAAAACUUUUCAGCUAGAGUUUGAUAGAGGAAAGCAGAAUUUCUAGUGUAGAGGUGAAAUUCGUAGAUAUUAGAAAGAAUACCAAUUGCGAAGGCAGCUUUCUGGAUCAUUACUGACGCUGANGAACGAAAGCAUGGGUAGCGAAGAGGAUUAGAUACCCUCGUAGUCCAUGCCGUAAACGAUGUGUGUUAGACGUUGGAAAUUUAUUUUCAGUGUCGCAGCGAAAGCGAUAAACACACCGCCNGGGGNNUACGACCGCANGGUUAAAACUCAAAUGAAUUGANGGGNACCCGCACAAGUAGUGGANCAUGUGNUUUAAUUCGANNAUACGCGCANAANCNUUACCNACACUUGACNUGNUCGUCGCGACUCU
rnacentral:rRNA from 1 species